CGUAGCCUACGGGAGGCAGCAGUGGGGAAUAUUGCACAAUGGGCGCAAGCCUGAUGCAGCGACGCCGCGUGCGGGACGACGGCCCUACGGGUUGUAAACCUCUUUUGUCAGGGAGCAACGCCGGCUACGUGUAGCCGGACUGAGAGUACCUGAAGAAAAAGCAUCGGCUAACUCCGUGCCAGCAGCCGCGGUAAUACGGAGGAUGCGAGCGUUAUCCGGAUUUAUUGGGUUUAAAGGGUGCGUAGGCGGAAUGCCAAGUCAGCGGUAAAAUCGCGGGGCUCAACCUCGCUCCGCCGUUGAAACUG
rnacentral:rRNA from 1 species